CAUCUUCUUGUUAUUAAAGAAUUUCGAUAACCGAUGGGGAUGCGUUCCAUUAGUUUGUUGGCGGGGUAACGGCCCACCAAGACAUCGAUGGAUAGGGGUUCUGAGAGGAAGGUCCCCCACAUUGGAACUGAGACACGGUCCAAACUCCUACGGGAGGCAGCAGUGAGGAAUAUUGGUCAAUGGACGAGAGUCUGAACCAGCCAAGUAGCGUGAAGGAUGACUGCCCUAUGGGUUGUAAACUUCUUUUAUAUGGGAAUAAAGUGCAGUAUGUAUACUGUUUUGUAUGUACCAUACGAAUAAGGAUCGGCUAACUCCGUGCCAGCAGCCGCGGUAAUACGGAGGAUCCGAGCGUUAUCCGGAUUUAUUGGGUUUAAAGGGAGCGUAGGCGGAAGCUUAAGUCAGUUGUGAAAGUUUGCGGCUCAACCGUAAAAUUGCAGUUGAUACUGGGUUUCUUGAGUGCAGUAGAGGUAGGCGGAAUUCGUGGUGUAGCGGUGAAAUGCUUAGAUAUCACGAAGAACUCCGAUUGCGAAGGCAGCUUACUGGACUGUAACUGACGCUGAUGCUCGAAAGUGUGGGUAUCAAACAGGAUUAGAUACCCUGGUAGUCCACACAGUAAACGAAGAAGACUCGCUGUUUGCGAUAUAAUGCAAGCGGCCAAG
rnacentral:rRNA from 1 species